ACACUGAGGCGUGACGACGAGGCACUACGGUGCUGAAGCAACAAAUGCCCUGCUUCCAGGAAAAGCCUCUAAGCAUCAGGUAACAUCAAAUCGUACCCCAAACCGACACAGGUGGUCAGGUAGAGAAUACCAAGGCGCUUGAGAGAACUCGGGUGAAGGAACUAGGCAAAAUGGUGCCGUAACUUCGGGAGAAGGCACGCUGACACGUAGGUGAAGUGAUUUACUCAUGGAGCUGAAGUCAGUCGAAGAUACCAGCUGGCUGCAACUGUUUAUUAAAAACACAGCACUGUGCAAACACGAAAGUGGACGUAUACGGUGUGACGCCUGCCCGGUGCCGGAAGGUUAAUUGAUGGGGUCAGCGCAAGCGAAGCUCCUGAUCGAAGCCCCGGUAAACGGCGGCCGUAACUAUAACGGUCCUAAGGUAGCGAAAUUCCUUGUCGGGUAAGUUCCGACCUGCACGAAUGGCGUAAUGAUGGCCAGGCUGUCUCCACCCGAGACUCAGUGAAAUUGAACUCGCUGUGAAGAUGCAGUGUACCCGCGGCAAGACGGAAAGACCCCGUGAACCUUUACUAUAGCUUGACACUGAACAUUGAGCCUUGAUGUGUAGGAUAGGUGGGAGGCUUUGAAGUGUGGACGCCAGUCUGCAUGGAGCCGACCUUGAAAUACCACCCUUUAAUGUUUGAUGUUCUAACGUGGACCCGUUACCCGGGUUGCGGACAGUGUCUGGUGGGUAGUUUGACUGGGGCGGUCUCCUCCUAAAGAGUAACGGAGGAGCACGAAGGUUGGCUAAUCCUGGUCGGACAUCAGGAGGUUAGUGCAAUGGCAUAAGCCAGCUUGACUGCGAGCGUGACGGCGCGAGCAGGUGCGAAAGCAGGUCAUAGUGAUCCGGUGGUUCUGAAUGGAAGGGCCAUCGCUCAACGGAUAAAAGGUACUCCGGGGAUAACAGGCUGAUACCGCCCAAGAGUUCAUAUCGACGGCGGUGUUUGGCACCUCGAUGUCGGCUCAUCACAUCCUGGGGCUGAAGUAGGUCCCAAGGGUAUGGCUGUUCGCCAUUUAAAGUGGUACGCGAGCUGGGUUUAGAACGUCGUGAGACAGUUCGGUCCCUAUCUGCCGUGGGCGCUGGAGAACUGAGGGGGGCUGCUCCUAGUACGAGAGGACCGGAGUGGACGCAUCACUGGUGUUCGGGUUGUCAUGCCAAUGGCACUGCCCGGUAGCUAAAUGCGGAAGAGAUAAGUGCUGAAAGCAUCUAAGCACGAAACUUGCCCCGAGAUGAGUUCUCCCUGAGACUUUAGGUCUCCUGAAGGAACGUUGAAGACGACGACGUUGAUAGGCCGGGUGUGUAAGCGCAGCGAUGCGUUGAGCUAACCGGUACUAAUGAACCGUGAGGCUUAACCUU
rnacentral:rRNA from 1 species